CAGAGGGGGCAAGCGUUGUUCGGAAUUACUGGGCGUAAAGGGCGCGUAGGCGGCCUGCUAAGUCGAACGUGAAAUCCCCGGGCUCAACCCGGGAACUGCGUCCGAGACUGACAGGCUCGAAUCCGGGAGAGGGAUGUGGAAUUCCAGGUGUAGCGGUGAAAUGCGUAGAUAUCUGGAGGAACAUCGGUGGCGAAGGCGGCAUCCUGGACCGGUAUUGACGCUGAGGCGCGAAAGCCAGGGGAGCAAACGGGAUUAGAUACCCCGGUAGUCCUGGCCCUAAACGAUGAAUGCUUGGUGUGGUGGGUAUCGAUCCCCGCCGUGCCGAAGCUAACGCAUUAAGCAUUCCGCCUGGGGAGUACGGUCGCAAGGCUG
rnacentral:rRNA from 1 species